UACGUAGGGUGCAAGCGUUGUCCGGAAUUAUUGGGCGUAAAGAGCUUGUAGGCGGUUUGUCGCGUCUGCUGUGAAAUUUCGGGGCUCAACCCCGAACUUGCAGUGGGUACGGGCAGACUAGAGUGUGGUAGGGGAGACUGGAAUUCCUGGUGUAGCGGUGAAAUGCGCGGAUAUCAGGAGGAACACCGAUGGCGAAGGCAGGUCUCUGGGCCAUAACUGACGCUGAGAAGCGAAAGCAUGGGGGAGCGAACAGG
rnacentral:rRNA from 1 species